CAGUCGCCGCGGGAAUACGGAGGAUCCAAGCGUUAUCCGGAAUCAUUGGGUUUAAAGGGUCCGUAGGCGGUCUUGUAAGUCAGUGGUGAAAGCCCAUCGCUCAACGGUGGAACGGCCAUUGAUACUGCAGGACUUGAAUUAUUGGGAAGUAACUAGAAUAUGUAGUGUAGCGGUGAAAUGCUUAGAGAUUACAUGGAAUACCAAUUGCGAAGGCAGGUUACUACCAAUUGAUUGACGCUGAUGGACGAAAGCGUGGGUAGCGAACAGGAUUAGAUACCCCAGUAGUCCCUGUCUCUUAUAU
rnacentral:rRNA from 1 species